GGUAAUCCCCAACCAAUCCCCAUUGCAAUGUCCCUUGCAAGAUUUUCCUAAUGAAGAUUCUCAGGAUUACAGAUCCUCUAGCAAGGAGACCAGACAGGUACAUAUAGAAAUGACCAGAGC